rnacentral:lncRNA from 1 species
CUUCUGGCCCACCUAGUGGUUCGAGAUUACACCCAGCUGGCUACCCAAUACCCAGGGUGCCAUUUUCACCGUUUCCUGGUGGUCCUCCUUCUCAGCCAUAUGCUAUUCCAACUCGUGGACCUGUUGGUACUGGUCGUGGAAGUUCAGUUGGGGGCCACCUUCCCCACCAACAAGCCACCCAGCAUAAUGUUGGAACUAUUGGCCCUAAUGUGAACUUCCCCCUUGAUAGUCCAAAUAGCCAGCCUUCACCUGGUGGUCCGCUAUCCCAACCUGGAUAUGUAAGUAUCGCCCUCAUCUCUUUUAAUUUUUUUCUUUCAUCUAGUAGUUUCUGAAGCAUUAGAGCUCGAUUGUUUUUGGUUGACUUUAAAUCAUCAUACGAUGUUGCCUUUUCAGGGAAGCCAAGCAUUCAGGGAUGGUUUUAUGGGCGGCAUUUCUCAGGUUGUCUUCUCGUUUUAUGUUACUUAGUGAUCAGUGGCAGUGUUUUCUACUUUUUGUCUGUUAUUUAAUAUCUUCUAUGUCAAUACCACCAGGAUUUCUUAGGUGAUGAUUUCAAGAGCCAGGGAUCUCAUGUUCCUUACAACAUGGGCGACUAUUCUACACAGGUAGUUUCUCUUCUGCCUGCUUUAGUUAUUAGACAUGUAAAUACUUUGGAUAUAUGAUAGUAGGACUACGAUAAGAUGUCUUUGGAAAUGUAAAACCAAAAUUCCGAGGUUGGGCCAGAUAUAUAUAACCAUGUGUUGCAAAGUUGAUAGUUCUUGAAUUUCACAUAGGAAUUACUGACUGUUCAUGUUUUUUGUAUAUGUUCUUCGUUUCUGAGCCAUAUUUGUAUAUAAUUUCUUUGUGGCAGUGUUUUCUACUUUUUGUCUGUUAUUUAAUAUCUUCUAUGUCAAUACCACCAGGAUUUCUUAGGUGAUGAUUUCAAGAGCCAGGGAUCUCAUGUUCCUUACAACAUGGGCGACUAUUCUACACAGGUAGUUUCUCUUCUGCCUGCUUUAGUUAUUAGACAUGUAAAUACUUUGGAUAUAUGAUAGUAGGACUACGAUAAGAUGUCUUUGGAAAUGUAAAACCAAAAUUCCGAGGUUGGGCCAGAUAUAUAUAACCAUGUGUUGCAAAGUUGAUAGUUCUUGAAUUUCACAUAGGAAUUACUGACUGUUCAUGUUUUUUGUAUAUGUUCUUCGUUUCUGAGCCAUAUUUGUAUAUAAUUUCUUUGUAUGCCUCACAGGGAGGAUAUGCGGUUGAUUAUGCCACACAAGGAGCCCAUGGAGCUUUUCCUGGAAACUUUAUGAACCAGAAUUCUCAAGGGGGUUAUUCUCGUUUCAGUGGGAGUAAUGAUUUCAUGUCCCAGGUGUGUUUCACCUAGCCUUUCCUUUUAACACUUUUUUUUUCUUAAUUCUUAGACCUUCGUCUGAGUCCUCUAUUACCGACACAGGAGUAUAUGCCGCAUGGAGCACAAGGUCUUUUCACCCAAGCUGGCUUUAUCGACUACAAACCGUGCGUUUUCAACGGAAGUCCCGUCGACGAUCGAUUCGAGUUUCGUGGAGGCAUGGAAGAAAGUCGCACCGAACAUGGACCCGCCGCAGACUCCUUCUUCCUUCAUGAAGCCUCGUCCAUCGACUGCUUCCUCGAUUCCGACGAUAGUUCGUUUGCAUUAACGUUUACAAUUAACAAAAAAGGAGGAUUCUUAAGAUAGCGAAGGUUGUGUGUUUAUAUAGAGAGAAUUACACACUAAACAUUAACCCAAACUCAUACAAACAAUUGAGGCCUUUCGAGUUUGUGUUCACCAUAUUAAUCUUUGGUACUCAUGUUUCUUUUCAAAAGAUGCUAACGACUCUUCGUCUCACAGGGUCUCCCGAAUUCACUCUACUCGCAGCCUUUCUCACACUACACCCAGCCACUAAACCUUUCAGGCCCACAGCAAUCUCAACCUCCUAACCAAGGCUCACAAAACCCAAAACCUCCUCACAACGGCUAAAGAUGACACAUGCAGAAGCUGAAUGCAAACGGGUUUGUAAACCUUUUUUUUUGCAAAUUCAGCAGUUUGGUAUCAUGCUAUCACGGCUCCAAACAAACAUCUGGUGGCUUCUCGGGGUGCUUGCAAGUUACGUGCCUUUCUGGCUCGCUUAGCAACAGGUAAUGAUGAUGCAGAGAGACAUGUACCUAAGUAACCCGAGGAGAUUCUUGGUCCAUACAUCCUCUGGGCUUAUAUAAAUGUUUGGUUUUGCCGUGUAAUAUUAUAAUAUCAUCCUCUUAUUGUAGUCUAUAUCUGAAGCUACCCUUAGUUAAAAAUCGGUGUUGGUGUCUGGUGAUAUUGAUAUGAGUACUGCAAACUCUCUUGCCUUUAUUUAUUUUUUUCUGGAUAUUUCGCUUAAUGCGUGUCUGAAUUAUUGUUUCUGCUUCCGUGGUAUUUAUUAUAUGAUCAUCUAUGAGAUAUGUGCAAGUUUUGGUUCCAGAUAGUGUCCUAUGGGGAUUGUCCAAUCGGUUUUGGGUAUCGGACAUAUUAACACCGACUUUCUUAGGUUUGUUACGGUUUCAGGAAGUACCGCUCGUGGAACCAUCCAUACAAGCAUCGGAUUCUACCCCGGGUGUGAUCCCACAAAGUUUGGUGUUACAUUUUUUUUUUCUCUGUGUCUCGGAAGGAAUAUAUCAAAAUAAAAUGUAAGUUUUCACAGAAAAAACGGUAUAUUAUUUUCAUCAUAUUGUGCGUAUUUUUGGCUUUGGUGAAGGUUAUUAGUCCAGAAAGGACAAAGCCCAUUUGGGUUGGUUUUGGACACGAAAGGGAUUGUGCAGCAUUGGCAAAUAGUGGUUAACGUUCGUCUAUCUGGUCUGGUGUUCCUUGUGAGGACCGUAGUUGGGCCCAAAUAUCAUAAAGAAACACACGAAACACUCUCCGUUUUUGGUUUUGAUCCCAGACAGACAAGAACACUCUCUCAUGUAUGGCAAAUGCCCUCCCUCUUUAAAUCAAAUAACGGACAGGAAGCAGUUGCGGCCCUGGGUAUAAGCAUUAGAAACAUCUGAUUCCGGCCGUUGAUAAUUAACAAAAUUUUCAGCCUAUUUAUAAAAUAUGCCAGUAGGUUAGAUGAUCAAACUAGCUAACAAAUCCCUCCAUAAUAAAAUUUUGGGUUUCUAGUCUUUGUUUUUGUAGAGCUUUUUACUGCUGGGCCUGAGUAGAAAUCAAGAAACAUAAAUAGAUAGAAAUGUGAGAUGUCCAGGACUUUAUGCCUGCUCUCUCUCUCUCUCUUUCUCGAGUCACUCUCAAAAUCUGGUUCGGGUUAGGUUAUAGACAUUUUAUGUGGAACUCAAAAACUGAGAUAGGAUCAAUACUUUUAAAAAUCUAUGCAUUUCUUAUUUUCCAAAACCCAAACAAACAAACCAAACGAAUAUUUUAAUUUUACUGAAAGUAUUAUUUGUAUUUAAUUUUAAAAUAAUUAUAUAUAAAUAUAGUUUAUAAUUAAAACAAGUACAUUUAUAUAUUUUUUUCAGCUACUAGCCAAUUCUCGAUAUUUUUAGCAAAAUCGAACUGAAUUCUGUAGAAACCCUGUCUAAACCUGAAAGCACCGACAGUGCCGGCUCAAUAGGGAGUGCGGCCGGUGCGACCGCCCCGGGUCCGGUUCAAAUCUUACAAUAUUAGGGGCCCUAAUUAUUUAAUUAGCAUAUCUGAUUUAGAUUUAAACAGUAUUAAAACGAUGUAUCAUAAUUUUUUCUAGUUAAAUUAUCAAAGAGAAUAUACAUGUUUGAUGCUCGAGUCGAAAUUUCAGGAAAUUUUUUUACCAACGUUAAAAAAUUAACUUACUAUAGGGGCUUUAAAAUUCUUUUUGCCCAAGGGCCCUUCUAUAUAUUAAGCCGGCCCUGAGCACCGAAAACCAUAAACUCGAACUGGAACCAAACUAUAAUGCCCUCUGCCUAAAUCAAACACUGAAAAUCUGAAACUUUGUAACCCAUUUGCUACUUGUGUUACAGGCUUCACGGUACACAGAUAUAUCCUAUUGAUUAAAUAGUGGGCUUUAAGACAAGGCCUUUCCAGUUUUUGUGGGCCGAAACUGAAAAUAAAAUGCUACACUUGCCCACCAGCGAACGUGAACAUCAGAGUCACAGAUAACAACACUUGAGAGAGUUAUCAGAAAGAGUUCCCUAUCGACACUCUCUCUCUCUCUCUCUUCCUCUCAGCAUCAUCAUCACCACCAAAUCGCCGCCAUGUUCAGACAAGCUUCUCGCCUCGUCUCCCGAUCUAUCACCGCCAAAUCGGCGACAAACCGUGCGUUUUCAACGGAAGUCCCGUCGACGAUCGAUUCGAGUUUCGUGGAGGCAUGGAAGAAAGUCGCACCGAACAUGGACCCGCCGCAGACUCCUUCUUCCUUCAUGAAGCCUCGUCCAUCGACUGCUUCCUCGAUUCCGACGAAGCUCACCGUCAAUUUCGUCCUCCCUUACGCAUCUGAGCUUUCCGGGAAAGAGGUCGGCUUUCAUUUUUCCUCGUUCGAUGUUCGCAUUUAGGUUUCUAGGGUUUGAUCUAUGACUCUGUGUGUUAUGGUUACAUAUUUGAUUGUUGUUUGAUUUCAUGAUAAGGUGGUUAAUUAGGUCUGAAGACUUUUGAUUUUUGGUUAGAUCUAACGGCGCUAAAGUUUAGGGUUUUGAUAGGCCAAAGCUGAAACUGGCGCAGUUGAUGUUUCGUUUAGUUUCUACAUAAUUGUUAAUAACAAGAUCAAGAACAAAAAAAAAAGCCUCACUUUUUAGUGAUUAAGAAUAACCUAAAUCUCCCUAAUUUCUCAGGUUUACCAUUUGUUGUCUCUGCAAAAUGUUGCUUGCUAUAAAUCCAUUAAAAUUUUAUUAAGAGUUUUGUUAUCUCUGCUCUGUUCAUAACCAAAUGAUCCUGGUGUGUUUUUUACGGUUUCUAAUACAAUGUGAUUGGCAAAUAAUGUUUGUUUCAUAUAUCUUGAAACUUUGAUGUUGACAAAUUAUAACUGCUGAUUUCUAAUGUGUUAAUUGGUUUUGUGAAGGUUAAUCUUUUCUCUUCUAUUGAUAUAUGAUGUGGUAUACAUAUAGACUGAAUCUCCAUGGCAAGUAGUAAUUUCUCAUUGGCUUAUUCUCAUAUGUUGGUGGUGCAUUCACUGUGAUAUCUCUUCUGUAGAAUAUACAUUCAGUACUGAAAGUUCUUAUCGUCCCUGACUUGCUUUCUGAUGCAUCCAUUGCUUAUAUCCGAGAACGUAAACCUAUUUCUUGAUUGGUUUGUUUUCUUGUAUAUAUUUAAUUAUAACUCAAAGCUUAUUGGCUUUUUCUCUUUUGUCUACUUCAAGGUCGACAUGGUCAUCAUUCCCGCGACAACAGGACAAAUGGGUGUUUUGCCUGGACACGUUCCAACAAUCGCUGAGCUCAAACCCGGUAUCAUGUCCGUCCACGAAGGUACUGACAUCAAGAAAUACUUUGUGAGCAGUGGAUUUGCAUUUCUCCACGCAAAUUCCGUUGCUGACAUUAUCGCGGUUGAGGCCGUGCCGCUUGAGAACAUCGACGCAAGCCAAGUCCAAAAGGGUUUAGCUGAGUUUACACAGAAACUUGCUUCUGCCACAACAGAUCUUGAGAAAGCAGAAGCACAGAUUGGUGUCGAAGUUCACAGUGCUAUGAACGCAGCUCUCUCGGGCUGAUGAUGAGUGAAAGUCUCUUUUUUACUACUACAAAUGAUGGAAUAAAUUAGAAAAUGAUUUUAUUUUUCCUUUUCGUAAUUGUGUUGGACUUUUUGGAAUAAAUGAUUUUGUUGAAGGCACAAACCAACAGAAAGUUAUUAUUCUUCUCGACUUAUGUUUGUUUUGAGAUUGAGAAACUAAGUUCCCGAAUUGAUUUAUGGUUUUCAUUUCCUAAAAUUCUUUUUUUCUCACUUUGGGCCAUUUUUGCAAUGUCACUUCAGAACGAUUAAAAAUUGUUGGUUUUUCUUGUUGAUUUUGAAACUCUCUCGAAGUGACAAUAUUAGUGUUUUACAGUGACCUAGAAAUAAUAUGAUUUUUAAAAUAUCGAACAACUCAUAUCAUGAUUAACAUAUCAUACUGUACGUAGGCUGGGACGGAUCCAGAUAUUCGGAAAAUUUAAUAUCCGGAUUUCGGAUAUCCGUCUCGAUAUUUUAUUACCCGCGGAUAUCCGGAUCCGUAAAAAUAAUUAAAAAUAAUAUUUUUUUUUAAAACUAAAAUUUUAAUAUAAUAUAUAAACCUGUUGGUACUGGUCGUGGAAGUUCAGUUGGGGGCCACCUUCCCCACCAACAAGCCACCCAGCAUAAUGUUGGAACUAUUGGCCCUAAUGUGAACUUCCCCCUUGAUAGUCCAAAUAGCCAGCCUUCACCUGGUGGUCCGCUAUCCCAACCUGGAUAUGUAAGUAUCGCC